GUUUACAACCUUAAACAAUGUGAUCAGGGAAGGGCUCACUGAGAAGCAGCUGACUGAGAGAGGAAGCUGUAAGGACAAGCUGGGAGGGGAGGGUGUACGGCAGGAGGAAUGGGCCAGCAGAGAGCCCGCAGCAGGAGCAGCCUGGCAUGAUGGAGGUGCCAGUGCAGGGAGAGAAGGCGCGAGCAGCGUUGGAGCGGGGUGUGGACCUUGGAGACCCUGUAGGCUACUGAAAGGACUUUGGAUUUGUCCCCGUGAGAAAGGAGAGCCAUGGGAGAGUAAAUCAAAUCCCUCAGAAGCCCAGAAAGCAGCUGUCCUCAGCUCACUCCUCUCACCGCAGAUCACCCAUUCACCAGAUCCCAGGUACCGAACUGAAGAUGGUAGAGGAAAAGUUUUUCCUGCUUAACAUAUUCAACUCUCUACCCUCAAUAUAUUUGGCUGUUAUUAUUCUGGUUUACAUGUAUCAUAAUUUAACCAGUUCCCUACUGGUGGAUGUCUAGGUUUCCCCGAUGUUUUGCUAUUAAAAACACACAUGGUACACGUUUUUCUAGAUCGGGCAGGGUUUGCCCAUCUCCACUUCAAGCAGCACAACCACCAUCUGCCAGUGUUGGGGUUUACUCUACAGUCAGCAAACACUGUUGGCACAUCCAGUCAGAGAAACUGAAAACAGAAAGCAGAAAUGGCUUACACUGGACUAAUUUUAGAAUUUCUAAGUACAUUUAAGUGAUGACUCAUCCCACUUAAAUUCAAAGCUGUUUGUUGUGCCAUCUGGCUCAUCAGAACAUGAAAGACUUCUCCUGCAACCUGGAAAAAGGCCAGAGAGGAAGACGAAUGGAGGAGUCAACCCCAUGGGAAUGCUGACUGAGUGUUAGCUCCCCGUGGACAGGAAUGUCACUGCAUGAAUAGGCUGCAGUAUGUCUGGGCCUGUUUUUUUUUCAUAAAAUGUUCCCCCCCUGUUUUUUUCUUAUUCCAAAGCAAUGCAACAAAAAGCACAAGAAAUCAAAAAGGAAAAAAUAGAUAUUGGACUUCAUCAAAAUGAAAAACUUUUGUGCUUCAAAGGAAAUGGAAAGAAAGUGAAAAAACAACUGAGGGAAUGGAAGAAAAUAUUCUCAAAUCAUCAUCUAACAAAGGUUGUGUUAGUCUGUUCAGGUUGCUGUAACAAAAUAUCAUUUCAGGUCACCAGGUGGCUUAAACAACAGAUUCAGUUGGCCCUCCGUAUCCAUGGGUUUCAGGCCUUCGACUUCAACCAACCUCAAAUAAAAAAUAUUUUUAAAACCCA
rnacentral:lncRNA from 10 species